rnacentral:rRNA from 1 species
AUGGGGCGAAUCUGCAGAGCUGACCGGACUCAUCAACUGCAUCAAGGGCGUGAAGGACGAGACAUCAAGCUUGUCAACGUGAUCCAGGUCAUGCUCGUUCGCCGGAUUCUGCCUUGCCAAAGGCGGGCAUUUAAUCUAUGGAAGUUCGUCCCGGCCGAACACCAGACGCUCCAGAGGCUCUAUGGCAUGAAGCACAAAAACGCGUGGAAGGUGUUGUUCAAGGGCUCCGAGGUACCUCCUCUCAUAUCCGAGGACCGUGGGCUCCAUGCCGCGGGGCACCCUAUCCAGGAGUAUGUGGAGACAGCGGAGCAGAUAGACUGUCCGACUCCUCUGCUGGAAAACCCAGCUACUGAUCUCCUGACAAAGAUGCUGGUCCCGGGGCCCUACAAGGGGCCAGAGAAGAAGGCCGAUAAGAAGGCCCCAGGGACCCGAAAGGGUCUCUGGCGUAAGGCUGCACCAAAAGCCUCGUCCGAAGAGGAUGAGGAAGACUCCUCCCCUGAAGGAGAAUAA